rnacentral:rRNA from 1 species
AGUGAACGCUGGCGGUAGGCCUAACACAUGCAAGUCGAACGGCAGCACAGUAAGAGCUUGCUCUUACGGGUGGCGAGUGGCGGACGGGUGAGGAAUACAUCGGAAUCUACUUUUUCGUGGGGGAUAACGUGGGGAAACUUACGCUAACACCGCAUACGACCUACGGGUGAAAGCAGGGGAUCUUCGGACCUUGCGCGAUUGAAUGAGCCGAUGUCGGAUUAGCUAGUUGGCGGGGUAAAGGCCCACCAAGGCGACGAUCCGUAGCUGGUCUGAGAGGAUGAUCAGCCACACUGGAACUGAGACACGGUCCAGACUCCUACGGGAGGCAGCAGUGGGGAAUAUUGGACAAUGGGCGCAAGCCUGAUCCAGCCAUACCGCGUGGGUGAAGAAGGCCUUCGGGUUGUAAAGCCCUUUUGUUGGGAAAGAAAAGCAGCAGGUUAAUACCCCGCUGUUCUGACGGUACCCGAAGAAUAAGCACCGGCUAACUUCGUG